rnacentral:rRNA from 1 species
UACGAAGGGGGCUAGCGUUGUUCGGAAUUACUGGGCGUAAAGCGCACGUAGGCGGGCGAUUAAGUCAGGGGUGAAAUCCCGGAGCUCAACUCCGGAACUGCCUUUGAUACUGGUCGUCUAGAGAUCGGAAGAGGUGAGUGGAAUUCCCAGUGUAGAGAUGAAAUUCGUAGAUAUUGGGAAGAACACCAGUGGCGAAGGCGGCUCACUGGUCCGGUACUGACGCUGAGGUGCGAAAGCGUGGGGAGCAAACAGG